rnacentral:rRNA from 1 species
CAGGUCUUCGGAUGCUGACGAGUGGCGAACGGGUGAGUAAUACAUCGGAACGUGCCUAGUAGUGGGGGAUAACUACUCGAAAGAGUAGCUAAUACCGCAUGAGAUCUACGGAUGAAAGCAGGGGACCUUCGGGCCUUGUGCUACUAGAGCGGCUGAUGGCAGAUUAGGUAGUUGGUGGGGUAAAGGCUUACCAAGCCUGCGAUCUGUAGCUGGUCUGAGAGGACGACCAGCCACACUGGGACUGAGACACGGCCCAGACUCCUACGGGAGGCAGCAGUGGGGAAUUUUGGACAAUGGGCGAAAGCCUGAUCCAGCAAUGCCGCGUGCAGGAUGAAGGCCCUCGGGUUGUAAACUGCUUUUGUACGGAACGAAAAGCCUGGGGCUAAUAUCCCCGGGUCAUGACGGUACCGUAAGAAUAAGCACCGGCUAACUACGUGCCAGCAGCCCGCGGUAAUACGUAGGGUGCAAGCGUUAAUCGGAAUUACUGGGCGUAAA